UUUUUUCAGCCUGGUUCACCACUCAGGACAGACAGGGCCCAAAACCCAGAAGUGGAGGAGGCAUGGAGGCUUCUCUGUCUCUCCCGUUUCGCUCUGCCCGACCGCGUCUCCACCAAGCUCCGACCACCAGCUUCGUCACCUGCGGGCUUCGCAACAGUACGAGGAGGCCACUGUGGAGGUCGGACGUGCUGUCCACGGAGGCCAUACAAGCCGUCCAGUCCCUCAAGCUGGCCAAAUCCACGCCCCGGUUGAACCACGUCCUCGGCACGACCCUCGCUCGGCUCUUGAAGUCCGAUCUCUUGAACGCCUUCGCCGAGCUCAAGAGACAGAACGAGGUCGAUUUGGCCCUCAAGGUCUUCGAGUACAUGUGCGAGGAGGAAUGGUACGACACUGAACUUACAUUGCGUUGCGACAUGAUCCAACUAUUGGGAAAGAACAAAAUGGUUGCUCUUGCCGAAGUUGUUUUCUCCGGACUUCUGAAAGAAGGGAUUGAACCUGACACAAGGGCUUAUGCGGAGAUGAUUGGAGCAUAUCUAAGAGCGGACAUGAUUGAAGAGGCAAUGCAGACUUAUGAGAAGAUGAAAGCGGCUGGUCGUACCCCAAAUGAAUUUACCCUGAUGAUUCUCAUAAGAAAUCUAGAGAAGGCUGGAGAAAAGGAUCUGGUACAGUUGGUGAAGAGAGACUGUGUUGAAUAUUUGGAUUCUCCUAAAAAGUUCCUGGAAGAAGUCGACAGAAAACAUCCGAAGAGGAGAUCGGUUGAUCUUGUUUGAGGACUUACAGCUAUGCAAGAAUGGACAGCUAGAAGUUCUACUCCAGCAAUGAAAAGAUGCACCACUUUUGCCGACUUCUAUCAAAAUCGUUGCACACAGUUUGCAGCAGGAUCUUGAAUUAUUUAUUGAAAUAGAAACAUGGGUAACUGCUGUCAAACUGUUAUGCCCAUCCGUGCGUAGGUAGGCCUCUAAACCAGAGGAGCUUAGGCCAGAUGAAGCAGAUUAUGGAUGUUUAUAGCAGGUGCUGUUGGUUUCUUUUCUCAUGCCAGUGUUGCAGAGUCACUGUUGCUUAGGACGCCUCAUUGCAUUUGAUCCUCUGUAUUAAAUUGUUUGCUGAUGGUAUUACCUUUUCCUCUCACGUAAUGGGCUAACUAUAAGUGCAAGGAAAGGCACGAAAAUUGUAUGUUCUGUUGAAUUCGGGUUGUGGCAAAAGAAAAUCUUUUCGCGUAUGUUUUCUUCAAAAGCUCUUUCUUUUUUCCCGGAUGAGAUGUAAUGGAUGAUGUGGAACAUGGCGUUUCUGCAAGUAAUGUGCUAAAAAACUGAUACAAUCCAUGGCCCAGUUACUGGCUUUGUAGGUA